AGCGACUGUGCAGGUUACCGCGGCUGCUGGCACGGAGUUAGCCGGUGCUUCUUCUGUGAGUGAUGUCCUUCCUGCCGGCUAUUAACCCGCAGGCCUUCUUCCUCACUGAAAGUGCUUUACAACCCGAAGGCCUUCUUCACACACGCGGCAUGGCUGGAUCAGGGUUGCCCCCAUUGUCCAAUAUUCCCCACUGCUGCCUCCCGUAGGAGUCUGGGCCGUGUCUCAGUCCCAGUGUGGCUGAUCAUCCUCUCAGACCAGCUACGGAUCGUCGCCUUGGUGAGCCGUUACCUCACCAACCAGCUAAUCCGACAUAGGCUCAUCCGAUAGCGCGAGGCCCGAAGGUCCCCCGCUUUCCCCCGUAGGGCGUAUGCGGUAUUAGCCUGGGUUUCCCCAGGUUAUCCCCCACUACCGGGCAGAUUCCUAUGCAUUACUCACCCGUCCGCCGCUCGCCACCAGGGAGCAAGCUCCCCGUGCUGCCGCUCGACUUGCAUGUGUUAGGCCUGCCGCCAGCGUUCAAUC
rnacentral:rRNA from 1 species